CCGCUUUUAGCUCAGUGGUCGAGCGUUGGCUUUGGAAGCCACAGGUCGGGGGUUCGAGACCACCAGGGCACA
rnacentral:tRNA from 1 species